rnacentral:lncRNA from 1 species
UGUGAUUGAAAAUGACAGAGGGAGUGGACGACUGUGAUUAGAAGAAAGAAAGGAAGUGGACGGUUGUGAAAGGAGAUGGAGUGGACGGUUGUGAUUAGAAGAAAGAAAGGAAGUGGACGGCUGUGAAAGGAGAUGGAGUGGACGGUUGUGAUUAAAAAAAGGAAAGGGAGUGAUGGCUGUGAUUAAAAAAAGGAAAGAGAGUGAGUGAGUGAUGUGGGCUGACGGUGACGGGUGAGUGGGUGACGGCUGAGUAGAAAAU